UACGGAGGGUGCGAGCGUUAAUCGGAAUUACUGGGCGUAAAGCGCACGCAGGUGGCUGUGCAAGUCGGAUGUGAAAGCCCCGGGCUCAACCUGGGAAUUGCAUUCGGUACUGCUUGACUAGAGUUUGGUAGAGGGUAGCGGAAUUCCCGGUGUAGCGGUGAAAUGCGCAGAUAUCUUGAGGAACACCGGUGGCGAAGGCGGGUCUCUGGGCCGAUACUGACGCUGAGGAGCGAAAGCGUGGGGAGCGAACAGG
rnacentral:rRNA from 1 species